CGUGAGGGAAAGGCGAAAAGAACCCCGGCGAGGGGAGUGAAAAAGAACCUGAAACCGUGUACGUACAAGCAGUGGGAGCCCCACCACCAAAGCAUUCUCUGGUGUUGAAGGCCCUGCAAAGCAGCAUCGCGGUGGCGGAGCGUCGUUUGCGACGCCCAACACACAAAACAAGCGGUGAGUGCUUUGGGGUGGGGUGACUGCGUACCUUUUGUAUAAUGGGUCAGCGACUUAUAUUCUGUAGCAAGGUUAACCGAAUAGGGGAGCCGGAGGGA
rnacentral:rRNA from 1 species